rnacentral:rRNA from 1 species
UGGGGAAUAUUGGGCAAUGGGCGAAAGCCUGACCCAGCAACGCCGCGUGAUUGAAGAAGGUCUUCGGAUUGUAAAGAUCUGUCCUAUGGGAAGAAAAAAAUGACGGUACCAUAGGAGGAAGCCCCGGCUAACUACGUGCCAGCAGCCGCGGUAAUACGUAGGGGGCAAGCGUUGUCCGGAUUUACUGGGCGUAAAGGGUGCGUAGGCGGUAUGUUAAGUCAGAUGUGAAAUAUCCGAGCUUAACUCGGAGGGUGCAUUUGAAACUGGGAUACUUGAGUGCAGGAGAGGAAAGUGGAAUUCCUAGUGUAGCGGUGAAAUGCGUAGAUAUUAGGAGGAACACCAGUGGCGAAGGCGACUUUCUGGACUGUAACUGACGCUGAGGCACGAAAGCGUGGGGAGCAAACA